rnacentral:lncRNA from 1 species
CACUUGUCGUGCAUGAGCUAUUGCUGGCAAGGCGGCUGGCAGUGGAUUUACUGCCUGGCCCUGCUGACUCUGUGUGCCUAGGGUCCCCCGCUGACAGCAGCGGCCGCUGACAUUGCUGGAGAGCGGCCGAGGAGCUCAGCGCGGGGCUGGGGCAGCUGGAGCAGCUGCUGCUGCGACUCGGCUUGUGGUCCUCGACUUCUGAACAUCGGCCGUCCUUUGAGGGGACCCGAGGUAGUUGUGUCGUAUGGGUGCUGGGUGUGAUUGCAGUGAUGCUUCAGUCCAGAGAGGUACAGCAGAGACCCGGCAUUUCCCUACAGAAAMGGGUCUGCGGACGGAAGGUCCUGCACCGAGAACCAGGUCCAUGCAGAAAGCGGGUGGGCGCCUCGGCUCUCCUCAGUGGCCCGGAGGCUCUGUCCGGGGAAGAGCAGCAGUGGGAGCAAGAAAGCAGCUUAGGCUCUGUAACUAGGUGUUUUUCUGCUUUCAGCAGUUCACCUGUCAGCGGAAGGAUAUGCUUUUUAUCUGAACAAAACUCAGGUGGCUGCAUACCGGACAGCGAGCGAGAUAUGCGCGCCUCCUUCCCUGGGCUGCGCUGGGAACCAGCAGCCUGGGCAGCAGCUAAAGCGUGGCCUGACGGCCUGUGCUGGAGCCCUUGUCGUGCCGGCCCGGCAGGCACAAUGUGGCGCCUGGAUCGACGGGGCGGCCAAGAGGAGGACGAACGAAUGGACGGACGGACAUCUUCUGAGGAAAAGCCAUUGUCACACCUGUCCUGGGGGUAACACUGCAGAAAUGAGGACGCUCUUUGGGAUGUUCAAAUCAGGUUCUUCAUAAACUAAGGUUGCUCUGAGAUCCUGCAAAAAGGACUUGAUCCCAAUCAACAAGGUGGUUUGAAGAAAUAAAUGGCUUUCUGCAAAGACA